UACAUGCCACCAGAGGCUUUUAAAUUAUCGUACAAACCUACCAGAUCCUGUGAUAUCUACAGUUAUGGGAUACUCCUUUGGUCCAUUGCCACAGGGAAACAACCAUAUGAAAAUAAGAACGCUGAC